GCCCUGUUAGGUUAGACCAUGCAUGUGUAAGUUUAAAGACCUAGUUAGGAUGAAACUGCGGACGGCUCAUUAUAACAGUAAUAGUUUCUUUGGUUAGUAGGUACAAGGAUAACUUUGUGAAUGAUAAAGCUAAUACUUGAGACGAUCCGGGGAGUACUUGUACUUCUCGGCCGGUGGUCGCAAGGCUGCCGAGAAAUGACAUUCUCUUGUGAAAAAGGAUGCCACGACAAUUGAAGAAAGCGACGCUUUUUACAAGUAACCAAUGGGAAUUUCUGAUCUAUCAAUUAGUUGGUAGUAUCGAGGACUACCAAGAUUAUAACGGAUAACGAGGAAUUGGGGUUCGACAUCGGAGAGGGAGCUUUACAGAUGGCUACCACUUCUAAGGAAGGCAGCAGGCGCGUAAAUUACCCACUUUCGACAUGAAGAGGUAGUGACGACAAAUAACUCUUGGGGCCCUUUGGGUCCUCGUGAGGGAAUGAUUAAAAAAAAAAUUCUCUUAAAAAAUCAAUUGGAGGGAAAGUGUGGUGCCCACAGCCGCGAUAUUUCCCUCCUCAAUAGUGAU
rnacentral:rRNA from 1 species